AGCUCCAAUAGCGUAUACUAAUGUUGUUGCAGUUAAAAAGCUCGUAGUCGGAUUUCAGUAGGAACAGGAAGUUCUCUUUGUAACGAACUGUUCUUACUUCUUUGACAUAAACUCUUAUGUUAUUCAUUUAGCGUGAGUUGCGACUGUCUCUUUUACUUUGAGAAAAUUAGAGUGUUCAAAGCAGGUAUCCGCCUGAAUAUUACUCUUGGAAUAAUGCUAUAA
rnacentral:rRNA from 1 species